rnacentral:lncRNA from 1 species
AGACAGAAAAGAGAGAAUAUUGUAUAAGAGUUUGAAAAUAUAAUUUAAAUCACUAGCACAUUCAAUCAUAAUGUAAAGCUUAGUAGUCCACUACAAUCUUAUUAGUAGACUCUCAUGGUUUUCAAAAUAAUAAAUAAAACCUCUGGAGUGGUGCAUAAAUGAAGAAUAAAAUAUAUAUAGUGCUUGCUUGCUUAUUCUAUCUUUCAAUCACCUAAGAUUUAAUUAAAGUUGAAGAGCCCC